AGGAGCGAAUUUCAAAAAGAAAGAUUAUUUUCUCUGAAUGAAUGAGGGCUCCUUUUAUUAUAAAAUGCCUAGUAACCCAUAUGGAAAGCUUCCAGUAAUUGGAAUAUGGGCUUUGUUUGGUUCCAGCUUUUAUUUUUUCCUCGCUUAUCAGUCGUUWGGAGAACGAGGCACAAGAAACAGGAAAUGGUUGAGCGAAGUGCUACAAAUUGCUCCACCGUCCAAASAACCCUCCACAGAUGAACUUAAAUACAAAGCUUUGCUAGAGGAAACAACAUAUGAGCCAAAAKAAGAUGACUAAGUCUYAKAAAGCUUUACUUCAAUAAAAGAAGCUGGAGUAAAAAGUUCAUAAUUGGCAACCAUCAUCGCAUCGUCCAGUCUUGUUCCAUCUUCACUGCUGGCCUCAGGGAACAUGUUAUCCAAUGUACUGAAUACAU